rnacentral:rRNA from 1 species
AUUGAACGCUAGCGGCAUGCCUUACACAUGCAAGUCGAACGGCAGCGGGGGAGCUUGCUCCCGCCGGCGAGUGGCGAACGGGUGAGUAAUACAUCGGAACGUACCCAGUGGCGGGGGAUAGCCCGGCGAAAGCCGGAUUAAUACCGCAUACGCCCUACGGGGGAAAGGGGGGGAUCGCAAGACCUCUCACUAUUGGAGCGGCCGAUGGCUGAUUAGCUAGUUGGUGGGGUAAAGGCCUACCAAGGCGACGAUCAGUAGCUGGUCUGAGAGGACGACCAGCCACACUGGGACUGAGACACGGCCCAGACUCCUACGGGAGGCAGUAGUGGGGAAUUUUGGACAAUGGGCGAAAGCCUGAUCCAGCAAUGCCGCGUGUGCGAAGAAGGCCUUCGGGUUGUAAAGCACUUUUGUCAGGGAAGAAAUCGUUUGGGUUAAUACCCCGAGCAGUUGACGGUACCUGAAGAAUAAGCACCGGCUAACUACGUGCCAGCAGCCGCGGUAA